UCCCUCUUGCAAUAUGUGCUUUUGAUCAUGAAACUGCUGAGAAAAGGCUCCUUCUAAACCACAAAACAAGAUAUGAAGACUGGAGUGAGCCCUCAUCAGCCAGAUGGACUGUUUCAUCUCUUCCGAAAUAGAAACCUCCAACCUACUCAGCCCUUUUGAGGCCAAAAAGAUACCCAUGGGCCCUCAAAAACCAACAGUCUCUACACCAGACUAAAACAAGUUUCCUAAAAGCAUUUUCCUUUUGGGCUCAUUUUUAUUACCUCUCCAUCCCAUGGUCCGAAGAUAAGAAUAAUUUGCAUAUAACAGUCAGUAUUAAAAUUUUUGAUUUGCAAUGGAUCAAUGAAUGACGAGGUCAGCCCAUCUGUGACUGAACCAAUCAAUGAAUGAGAAAUGGGUUGCUGCUGGUGCUGGGGCCCGAGGAGGUCCGCGCCGGAGGAGGGCCACAGGGACUGAGCGAGUGACAGACGCACCACCCGUCAAUGCUGCAACCCUGUAAGGCCUCCAUGGACUCUCUACGUGAGUGUAGAAUGAAUCAAGCCGACUCAAACACAGCAGCUAUUCCACAUGCAGUGGAAGAUAUUCAAGGAGACGACAGAUGGAUAUCUCAGCACAACAGAUUUGUCCUGGAUGGUAAAGACAAAAAGCCUAACGUUGUGUUUGUGGGAGACCCCAUGGUGCAGUUAAUGCAGCAACACGAGAUAUGGCGAGAGCUUUUUUCCCCGUUUCACGCACUGAAUUUUAGAACUGAGGAAGAUACAAGACAUGUUUUAUAGAAAAUAAAGAGUAGAGAACUGGA
ensembl:lncRNA PAFAH1B2P2 PAFAH1B2 pseudogene 2